AUAAAUUGAAAUUGUGAUAGAUACGUAGAAGUCAUUCUUGUACCUAAAGAAUAAAGAUAAUUUUUAUACUUUUCCUCGUUAUAAUAUUUUCCCAUUCUGGUCACAUCUGUACGCUUUAAGUGAUAUGAAUUUUAUACUAUUAAUAUGUGAUAGCGAAAUUUUAUACUAUUGAUAAUAAUUUUAUCAUUGCAUGGGUCAUAUUGUAUUGGCAUUUACAGUAAUCCUGGAUCAUGUCUACUUUAUCAAUAGCUAUAGUAAAUUAAAAUCAAUCCGUUCUUUAAUCUUUUUACUCUGACUUGAAAAGAUCUAAUGUCGCGAACGACUUUACCGAUUGGACGACGUUAUCAUGUCAUGUGGCAAAUUUCACUUCCUGGAUUCUCUUUAUUGGGAAACUGAGAAUCAGGAACAACGAAAACAGUGGGAAUUUACUUAAUUAAUAAAAUAUAAACUUUAUAAAGAUCCUUUUGUAUAAUACUCUAUAAAAGGGCUACUUUGACCAAGCUCAGUUAAUUUUAAUAAAUGAUUAUUGUAAUAAGAUUUUGAAUAAGACAAACAUAAAUGAUUAUUUUAAUACAUAUUUGUAUUUGUAGCAGUUUUAGGUGUAAAAUAUUAUGCUGAUUAUUGCAUCUUAACUAAUCUUCCUGUCAUGUUAGUCUAUUGCUUUCAAUAGAACAAGAAUUAAAUACAAUAGUUAUUAGAAUUGGUUAGAAUAUAUGAUUAGAAAUUGUGAUAGCAAGUGGAGUAAAAUUUUUAUCGAAUGGCAACCAAAAAAAAGAUCAUUCAACAACAAGGUGGCUUGAUGAUAUCAUCAAGAUUGCACAUAUUACCUGACUGCAUUUUGGAAUGGAGGCAUACUAUUUGUACACAUUGAAUCAACUAUCAGAUCUUCCCGAACUCUCCCACUCACCUACAACAUUAGAUCUCUCUUUCAGUUAUUAAGGACUAUAAUACUCUCGUGCAUUCUUAUACUUACUCUCUGAUUUUCAUCAUGUAUUUUAAUAAAAUUUGUAUCAUUAUAAAAAUAA